rnacentral:tRNA from 1 species
CAAAGAAUAGUUCAUAUAAGAAUACUAGCUUUGGGAGCUAGAGAUGGGAGUUAGAGUCUCUCUUCUUUGA